rnacentral:tRNA from 1 species
GGUGAUGUAGCUCAGUGGUAGAGCACUUCCAUAGCAUGUGCAAGACCCUGGGUUCAAUCCCAGCACCUCCC